GGGGAUGUAGCUCAGUGGUAGAGCUCUUGCCUGGCAUGUAUAAGGUCCCGGCUUUCAUCCCCA
rnacentral:tRNA from 1 species